rfam:Dipodomys ordii contig_49270, whole genome shotgun sequence.
UGGCUCAGUGGUAGAGCGCUUGCCUUGCAUGCAUGAGGCCUUGGGUUUGAUUCCUCA